GAGAGGCAGGAGCAUAGAUACCUGGCUCCCAAGUGUGACUUCAUCUCGGCUCAGAAACUCGAAGUCUGGAAACAAGAAUAAAACGCACAAGAAUGGCCUCUGAACUGCCGAGGAACCCGCUUGGUGACCGCUGAAGCCUAGUAAUGGAGCCCUGCAAGAGCCUUAUCCAAGGUCACACAGCAAGCAAGUGCUGUCUCUGUCAGUGCCACCCCGUCAGGCUGGGGAGAUACCCGCUUUGUGCCUCCCUGCGGUGCGCUCUUGGGGAAGCUGAUCCCCACCACCACCACCGCGCGCGCGCUGUUCCCCCUCCCCACUAGACCCUCUGCGGCUCACCUGGUGGCGGAGGCACGCGGGUGGUUUCCUGGAGUUGAAUGGCAAACAAAGGCCACCAAUCGGCGCGCGGGGCGGUGUGGCGGCUGCUUUGCAUAAUACUCGAGGUCAGCCUUAGACGGCGGAGGUGGAUCCUUGGGGGCGGGAACUCGGGAAAUCCCAACCAAUCAUAGGGAGGUAGUCGCCUGUGCCCCGCCCCGCGCGACUCGGAAGCCUGGGAGCCGGCACCCAGUUCCAGGAUUGAAAAUCCCAGAUUGCCUGGUUGUAUCUUCCUAUUGCGAUCCGUCCUACCGCUGUUGGGCGACCGAGGUCCUGACGGUACGAUAUUUGUGCGAGGUCUCACAGAGCCACCAUGAGGAAGAAGUCACAAAAUUUUUCGACCGAAACGGACACUUUAUAAACAGGAACAUGCGCUCUGUAAA